rnacentral:lncRNA from 10 species
UCAUGCUGUUCUCACGAUAGUGAAUAAGUCUCACAAGAUCUGAAGGUUAUAUAAAGAGAAGUUCCCUACACCACUUCUGUCUUUGCCUGCUGCCAUCCACGUGAUAUGUGACUUGCUGCUCCUUGCCUUCUGCCAUAAUUGUGAGGCCUCCUCAGCCACACGGAAAUGUGAGUCCAUUAAAACCUCUUUAUCUUCUCAGUCUUGGGUAUGUCUUUAUUAGCAGUGAUAAAACGGACUAAUACAAUAAAUUGGUAUUGGUAGAGUGGGGCACUGUUGUAGAUACCCGAAAAUGUGGAAGCAACUUUGGAACUGGGUAGCAGGCAGGGGUUGGAACAGUUUGGAGGCCUCAGAAGAAGACAGGAAAAUGUGGGAAAUUUUGGAACUUCCUAGAGACUUGUUUGGCUUUGACUAAAAUGCUGGUAAUGAUAUGGACAAUGAAAUCCAGGCUGAGGUGGUCUCAGAUGGAGAUAAGGAACUUGUUGGGAACUAGAGUAAAGGUGAUGCUUGCUAUGUUUUAGAGACUGGUAGCAUUUUGCCCCUGCCCUAGAGAUUUGUGGAACUUUGAACUUGAGGGAGAUAAUUUAGGGUAUUUGGCAGCAGAAAUUCCUGAGCAGCAAAGCAUUCAAGAGGUGACUUGGGUGCUGUUUAGAGCAUUUAGUUUUAAAAGGGAAACAGUAUAAAAGUUUGGAAAACUUGCAGCCUGACGAGCUUAUAGGCAUAAGAGACUUGCCUUGUCUCAGAUGAAACUUUGGACUGUGGACUUUUGAGUUAAUGCUGAUAUUAGGUAAGAGUGUGGGGAGUGUUGGGAAGGCAUGCUUGGUUUUGUCCAAGUCUCCUUGAACAGUGCUUGCCUGAUAUUUUUGGGAAUAUAAAUCCCUGGGUCUCUUAUAAAAAGGUAGGUUUAAAUUUAACUGGUCAGGGAUGGGGCUGAGAGGCUGCAUUUCCACCCCAGGUGAUGCUGAUGCUGUUGGCUCCCAGACACCACUUUGGGUAACAAGCUCCUACAUCAGAGGUCAACGAACUACGGCAAUAGAAUAUGGUAGAAGGGAAUGUGUGUCAGCCCCAAAUCUGGCCUCAAGAGGCUUAGGCUUACCUGCUUCUGCUUUUUCCCUCAGGACUCUGCUUACCCUUUGUGAAUAAGCCCAGUGAAUCUGCUGAGUGAUGAGAGAGAGAGUGGGCCAGUCACUUCAUUGCUCCAGGUAACAUGCAGUUAUCUUCCCCCAGGUAGGUCCCAGAAGACCUGCCAACUGACUGGACAUGCGUAAGUGAGCCCAGCUGGGUUACCUGAGUCUGGCCCAGGUCAGCAGUGCUAGCCAAUGGACAAACAACAUCAUGAGCAAAAAUUAAUGUAUUAUAUGCCACUGAGGUUUUUUGGCUGUUUGUUGUGGUACAUUAUUAUAGCAUUAGAUAAUGAUGCAAAGUGCAGAACAGCUUUAUUUGGCAGGAAGAGUAGGGGAUGUGUGCUCACUUUCCAUUUCUAAUCAAUCACCAGGUCUUACUCAUCCUAUAUCCUGGAUGAAUAUCUCUAAUUCAUUCCCUUCUCAUCACUGUCCCUGCCACUCACCUAACCUGGUUAUCUUCACCACUUGAAACUUCUCAUGCUGUCGUAUACAACUGUGUACUUCCCUCCCAAGCAUCAUUAUAAUUUGCUCCAGUUUUGAAAGAUUCUGAAGCCAGUUUUGUUGAGAGAGGAGGGCAACAGAUGAACAAUAUUGGGCAUCUACUUUAUUCUAUGCACUUAAUUAAGCUUAUUGAUAAGGCUAAUCACAGACUUAACCAUAAUCAUAAUAAAUUGGCAAACAAUGUUUAUUGAGCACUUCUUACGUGCCAGGUCCUUAGUUCA